UACGAAGGGGGGCUAGCGUUGCUCGGAAUCACUGGGCGUAAAGCGCACGUAGGCGGCUUUUUAAGUCAGGGGUGAAAUCCUGGAGCUCAACUCCAGAACUGCCUUUGAUACUGAGAAGCUUGAGUCCGGGAGAGGUGAGUGGAACUGCGAGUGUAGAGGUGAAAUUCGUAGAUAUUCGCAAGAACACCAGUGGCGAAGGCGGCUCACUGGCCCGGUACUGACGCUGAGAUGCGAAAGCGUGGGGAGCAACAGG
rnacentral:rRNA from 1 species